ACAGUAGUGGUUCAGUGGUGGAAUUCUCGCCUUCUGUGUGGGAGACCCAGGUUUGAUUCAUGGCCAAUGUA
rnacentral:tRNA from 1 species